GUGGGGAAUAUUGGGCAAUGGGCGAAAGCCUGACCCAGCAACGCCGCGUGAGGGAAGAAGGUUUUCGGAUUGUAAACCUCUGUCCUUGGUGACGAACACAAUGACGGUAGCCAAGGAGGAAGCCCCGGCUAACUACGUGCCAGCAGCCGCGGUAAUACGUAGGGGGCAAGCGUUGUCCGGAAUGACUGGGCGUAAAGGGCGUGUAGGCGGCCGAUUAAGUCUGGAGUGAAAGUCCUGCUUUCAAGGUGGGAAUUGCUUUGGAGACUGGUUGGCUUGAGUGCGGAAGAGGCAAGUGGAAUUCCCAGUGUAGCGGUGAAAUGCGUAGAGAUUGGGAGGAACACCAGUGGCGAAGGCGACUUGCUGGGCCGUAACUGACGCUGAGGCGCGAAAGCGUGGGGAGCGAACAGGAUUAGAUACCCGAGUAGUCC
rnacentral:rRNA from 1 species